AGAGAAGAAGAAGAAAAAGAGUGUCAGCCCAUUUUGAGCUCUCUCUGUAGAGCUUUCAUUAGAGAAGGCAAAGGCUUUGACUGGUGUGCUGAAGGAGUUGUACUGUGUGAAUGUAAUGGGCAGUACUACAGAAAGAAUCUCUGCUGAUGCAAAGAGCUGGUCAGAAUGAAAGGGAGAGAGAUAUAUGUAUUAUCACCCUUUUGACAUUGUAAGAAGGAGAAAAUAUUGGUUAGGAAUGGCAAGUGUAGCAGCGGGAAAAAAAGGAGCUGCAUGGAAGACAUCAACAGCAAGAGGAAGAAGAGGAAGGAAAGGUUAAAGAGUAUUGUGAAAUUGGCACACACUUGAAAGGGUAUCCAAAAGACGUCAAAAAAGCAUGGAGAAUGGUUUCAAGCUUCAUCAGAGCUGCUGAAGAAGUGGUAAAGGAAAUUGAGGAAGCUGCUGAGAAAGGAGAGCUCAAUGAACUUGUUCUAAUGGUCAUAUGUAAUUGCCUUGAUUUUGCUAGACUUGAUGUAAAUUGGUCUUUUGUUGUCUCUAAAUUUUGUGUGGCAUCUUUUCUUCUAAUGCAAUGGUGUUGUAGUGUAAUGUUUUGCAAACUUGUUUUAUAGAAGGGUUGAGGUAUACAUUGCUGUUCAUCUAUA